GCAACAGAACCGCACAGAUCACGGUCUGUAUAAAAGUCGUCAGGAUGGACCCAUUGAUAAAAUACGAGGCGAUCGCGAAAGCGAGGAGUGCCACAGUCAUGCUUACAAAAACACGUGGUGCGUACAUGAACUUUCCUCCCAAACCGAUAUCUUCUCAGUUUGUCGGUCCU
rnacentral:sRNA from 1 species